AGGAGGAACAACCGCAGUGGCGGGGCCAGCUCUGGAGCCCUGGAUUCAGCCCCCGCAGGAACUACUGAGCUCUCCGUCUGCAGGGGCCUGGAGGCUCCGGGGCGGG
rfam:Canis lupus familiaris chromosome 4, whole genome shotgun sequence.